UAACAGCUGACCUUUAGCAUUCAAUAUUAUUUGCAGACGUUUCUAAUCCACUUCUAUUUGGGUUAAAACUCAGAACGGAAGAGAAAAGAGAAUGAAAAAGUAUUAAAAUGAAGAAGCACAAUCCAGAGGAACCGUGAUAUCACUUCCACCAGAGCCAACCAACACUCUCCCACUUUUGCUUCUGCCUCUAUAUGCAGUCCCCUGAUAGAAAGUAGCCCAAGAGGACAGACCCAGCCAGGAAGAAAGGUAACAUCUUGCCCAGAUGGGAGGCCAGGAUGGAAGGACAGACUAGCUAGCCAGCUGGACAAGAAACGAUUUUGUACCCAGCAGGAAUGAUAUAAUUGUUGGAACAGUGGAAGCCCAAACAAUUCCAUCCCCCAUAUGGCAGGAGGCAGUGGUUCUCUUGUAGCAUUCUUAUUUGGGCACCAUCAAGGGUGCUUGGGUGUUGGUAUCCCUGAGUGUCAGUAGAGAGGACCUUUCUGCUUUCCAUAUGACCUGGAAGUGCUUCCAAGAUGGUGAACUAUGGCACCGGAAGCAUUCCCGCACCCAUCUUGAAAAGGAGCCCACUGCCGCAUGUUGGGAAGUCAAAGUCAAGAGGCAGUGGGCAACACUCUUAGAGGACAGAAGGAGGUAGAAUUUGCUUUGUAUUGUGUACUACAACUGAUCUUUGCACGGUUGCUUUGGAUAAAUAAAUCUCUUUCAUUUUAUCCCAGAAUUGUGUUUGGCAUUAAUGUGUCUGAGGUUUGAGAAUCAGUGGCACCCCCUGGUGGUUAAACUGUCAAUCAAUCAAUCAAUCAAUCAAUCGUUUCAUACUACCAUUACUAUCCCUUCCUCAGGUUCUCAAAGGACACUUCCGUGUAUGUUACAGUACUCUUGCUGUAUCUCUUUUUCAGGAUAUGAAUGUUGAAUGCCAUGCUGGAAGAGCUGUACAGUCAAACACAAUGCAGUUGGUCUAUGUGUAUGAUUCAUAGCAUUCUUAUAAUGUAAGAACAGCAAAAUCUCUGUAUGUAUUGGAAGUUAAUUUCGUUUUAAAAAGAGUAAGUCAAGAAGCCAAGAAGAAUGCAAUAAUUGUCAAUGUCCCAAUCCAAACCACAAAGUAGCAUUCGAGCUUUCAUCACACCAAAUACACAGAAAC